rnacentral:misc_RNA from 1 species
GGGGAAAAAGAAAGGAUAAUAAGCGGAUAAGCGUAGUCGAAGAAGCGGUUGAAAGCUUGGACCUCGGAGCUGAGUAGCUCGAGAGAGGAGAGGAGGCGAGGCGAUAAUGGAGAAGUACUUUGGAAAUGCAUACAGAGGAGACCCAGGUGUACCGCACGCGGAUCCAGACCGCUUCGUCAACAUAUGGAUUGGGUCGGCCGCUUUCUCUGUCCUGACCUUUUUCAAUCCCUACAUGUGGCAGCUCUCUAAUCAGUUCAAUUGGCAUGACAAGGCAUUUCUAUUUGAGCAAUACCAUUGGAAGAAAGCAAUGAAGAAGAACCAGCCAUAUAAAUUUAAGUGGAAUGAGAUGGACAAAGAAACGCGUGACUCUUAUUAUUUCAACUGGCCUUACUACUUCCCAUAGCUUUCUAUUUCACAAUCUCUCCUGAUGAAUUUUGGUGAACAAAUGGGAUCUGCGGAAAAUACAAGCUUAUGCCUUCUUUACCAUUUGUUUUUAGUUCUGCUUUGUACUGGUGGUUCAAACGCUUGUAGUUACUAGCUGCAAUGCUUUCUUGUUAAAGCUUCUUAUGGGACCAUAUAAGUAGUCUUUCAAUGCAUAUGCAGUAAUGCUUGAAGUCCUGGAAUAACUAGCAAUGGUUUUUAUGUGGGUUUUUUCCUUAAAAAAAUGUUUUUCUAAUUUGAUUUUACAUAUUUCCAUGUGGAAAUGCAGUCUUCUUAUGAAUCAGAGUAGUCUGGUACAAUGUGCUGUUGAAUAAGAAAAUGAAAAAUAGCACAAAGAGAGUUAUCCAUGCAAAAGGCCAACAUUGGGUUACCACUCUCCAGAUUGACAACUAUUUUACGUGAGAUGAGACGACAAGUAUAAAGCUGAGUUUUCCGGAUUGCCUGGUCAGCGACAGAACUUGCAUUUUAAAAGGAGUUUAAACUAGCAAGUCACAAUGGAGGGAUAUGUUAUUCCUGUCAUGAAUGAUGAAUGGGCGAUCACUUUUGUACACUUCAUUUUUGUACGCUUCAUUUGCUCACUCAUACCAUAAUUCCUGUAAGAAGUCCAAUGAGCAAUUCGUCUUGGCCGAAUUCUUUGUAUUCACCAUUGUUCAUCACUCCGUUUGUGCCCUCAUCGCCAUUAAUACAAGUGUCGAACAAGCGCCUCUAAAUUGCCUGGAGCUGUAUGUCGAUAGUGCAUUAAUAAUCCGGUCCAGGAAGAAGGAAUUCAAUUUCGGUUGUACGGUUCCAGAAAAGGAAAGCAUGGCGUUUCUCCAUCUCCCUUCUUCUCUUGCACUUAGAACCACCUCGCGUCCUGGAUUCACACUGCCCAUUAAAGCCUCGUCUCUUCACUUCCGGCCAAACUCUCCAAUCCAAAAUUUAACCAAAAUCAGCAACUGGGUUGUCAAUGUUCGAUCCAAAUCUUUGAAUUUGCUGCUCUCUGGUGCUCUUGCACUUGGUUUCUCUCUCUCAGGAGUUGAAUUUGCGGAGGCAAAAGUUGGGGUUAACAAGCCGGAAUUGCUUCCUAAAGAGUUUACUACUGUUAUAGAUGUGGCUGGGUUUCUCUCUGAUGGCCAGGAGAAGAGACUUGUGCAGGAGAUUACAAACAUUGAGAAGGAUACUGGAUUCAAAUUAAGAGUUUUAGCUCAAAAUUAUCCUCAAACACCAGGGUUGGCAAUUAGAGAUUUUUGGCAAGUGGAUGAUAGAACCAUUAUCUUUGUUGCAGACCCCACUUUUGGAAAUAUAUUAAACUUCAAUGUUGGGGCUUCUGUUGAUCUAGACGUUCCACGUAGCUUCUGGAGUCGUUUGGCUGGGAAAUAUGGGAACAUGUUUUAUUGGAAAGAGAAGGGGGAGGAUGCAUCUAUUGAAGCUGCUGUGAUGGCAAUAUCCAGUUGCCUAAGAGAACCUGUAGGCCCUAAUAACUGCUCUGAGGUAAAAUAACAAUGGGUCUAACGUGCAAUAUUCCUUUGUUCAUACCAUGUAAUAAUUUUUUCUAUUGUAUAAUGCUCUCAAUGGUUGUAUAUCUGAGAUGGCAUUUUAUGUAAACAACAAGCACAAAGCAGUAAACAACUGUGGAUAUUUGUGGAAGUAAAUAGAAAUUAACACAAUCUAUAGUGUCUUAAGAUUGUUACUG